rnacentral:lncRNA from 1 species
AUGAUGUCACAUCACAGAUCACUGUGGGUCCUAGGCAACCACCCAUCAGAAUGCACAGGGGCCGUGACACAGCAGCUCUAUGCAGCUACACCAGGGGAAGCUCUCUCAAGUUCUGUAUCAGGGGGAUCCAAGAUCCUGAUGGAGGAGCUACAAGUCAGAAAAGGCAGUAGUGACAAGAGUCUGAGACAGGCUGGAGCAGUCCCUGCCUGGCAGGAAGAGCCUUCAUAUCUGCCAAGAGAGUACGGCUAUGCUAGCGGCUGGCGCUGUGGUAUAAAGGAUAAAGAUAAAGAUGCCACCUAGGAACCCAGCAGCUCCCUGUGAAUGUGUCUAAGAAAGCAGCUGAAGAUGGCCCAAGUGCUUUGGGCCCAGCCACCCAUGGGGGAGACCCAGAAGAACUCUUGGCUCCUGGCUUCAGACCAGCCCAGCUCCAGCUGUUCCUGCCAUUCAGGGAGUGAACCAACAGCUCUCUCCCUUUCUCUUUCUCUGUAAUUUUGUCUUCAAAAUUAAAAAAAAAAAAAGUCCCUUUAAACGUAAUUCAAUUUUUUCAAUAUUAAAAUACAAAAAAUUAAACUACCAAAUGUAAAAAUAAGCCUUCAGAAACUGUAAAUAUUGAUAAUUCUUUAACAUUUGCUGCCUUUUAAAAUAUUUUAAGCUGACAUAUAUGAAUUGUAC